rnacentral:rRNA from 1 species
CCUACGGGUGACAGCAGUGGGGAAUAUUGCGCAAUGGGCGAAAGCCUGACGCAGCGACGCCGCGUGAGGGAUGAAGGUCUUCGGAUCGUAAACCUCUGUCAGCAGGGAAGAACGGUCACUGUGCUAAUCAGCAGUGAAUUGACGGUACCUGCAAAGGAAGCACCAGCUAACUCCGUGCCAGCAGCCGCGGUAAUACGGAGGGUGCGAGCGUUAAUCGGAAUUACUGGGCGUAAAGCGCUCGUAGGCGGUAUGUCAAGUCAAGGGUGAAAUCCCCGCGCUCAACGUGGGAACUGCCUUUGAAACUGGCAAACUGGGGUGUGUGAGAGGAUAGUGGAAUUCCAGGUGUAGGAGUGAAAUCCGUAGAUAUCUGGAGGAACAUCAGUGGCGAAGGCGACUAUCUGGCACAUAACUGACGCUGAGGAGCGAAAGCGUGGGUAGCAAACAGGAUUAGAUACCCGUGUAGUC